rnacentral:rRNA from 1 species
UGGGGAAUUUUUGGACAAUGGGCGAAAGCCUGAUCCAGCAAUGCCGCGUGUGUGAAGAAGGCCUUCGGGUUGUAAAGCACUUUUGUCCGGAAAGAAAUCCUUGGCUCUAAUACAGUCGGGGGAUGACGGUACCGGAAGAAUAAGCACCGGCUAACUACGUGCCAGCAGCCGCGGUAAUACGUAGGGUGCAAGCGUUAAUCGGAAUUACUGGGCGUAAAGCGUGCGCAGGCGGUUUGCUAAGACCGAUGUGAAAUCCCCGGGCUCAACCUGGGAACUGCAUUGGUGACUGGCAGGCUAGAGUAUGGCAGAGGGGGGUAGAAUUCCACUGUAGCAGUGAAAUGCGUAGAGAUGUGGAGGAAUACCGAUGGCGAAGGCAGCCCCCUGGGCCAAAUACUGACGCUCAUGCACGAAAGCGUGGGGGAGCAAACAGGAUUAGAUACCCCUGGUAGUCCACGCCCUAAACGAUGUCAACUAGUUGUUGGGGAUUCAUUUCCUUAGUAACGUAGCUAACGCGUGAAGUUGACCGCCUGGGGAGUACGGUCGCAAGAUUAAAACUCAAAGGAAUUGACGGGGUCAUAGCUGUUUCCU